rnacentral:misc_RNA from 1 species
GUAGCGAAGAAGCUGAAAACGCAGAAUGUUUCUGGUUAUUCGAACGAUUCAAAUCCAUUUGGAGAUUCGAAUCUGAACGAAAAUUUUGUCUGGCGGAAAAAAAUUGAACGAGAUGUUACUCGAGGGGUACCGCUCGAUACUUUCUCGAUGAAGGCAGAGAAGCAAAGGCAGAAAGAAAGAAUGGCUGAAAUUGAAAAGGUGAAGAAAAGGAGAGAAGAAAGAGCAAUUGAAAAAGCUCAACGAGAAGAAGAAUUACAGAUGCUAGCUAGAGAACGGGCCCGGGCUGAGUUCCAGGAUUGGGAGAAGAAGGAAGAAGAGUUUCAUUUCGAUCAGAGCAAAGUCCGGACUGAAAUUCGUCUUCGUCAAGGUCGUGUUAAGCCUAUUGAUGUUCUUAUCAAGCAAUUAGAACCUUCUGGAGAUUUCGAUGUGGAAAUAGACGAGCCCUAUGUGGUGUUCAAGGGUUUGGCUAUAAAAGAGAUGGAAGAACUUCAGGAGGAUAUAAAAUUGCAUAUUGAUUUGGAUAGGGAAACACCACUGCAUAUACAGUAUUGGGAAGCCCUUUUGGUGGUUUGUGACUGGGAGUUGGCUGAAGCUAGGAGAAGGGAAGCAAUGGACAAAGCACGAGUACGCGGAGAGGAGUUACCACAUGAAUUGCUAGCAGAAGAGAGGGGUUUGCAUUCCAGCAUUGAAACAGAUGUGAAGUCUUUGUUACAAGGUAAAGGUUAUGGUGAAUUAGAAGCAUUGCAGUCACAAAUUGAAUCACAAAUGCGAUCUGGUACUGCUAAAGUUGUAGAAUAUUGGGAAGCUGUUCUUAAACGGCUUCAGAUUUACAAGGCUAAGGCUUGUUUAAGGGAAAUUCACGCUAAAAUGCUGCGCGAACAUCUUGAGCAUCUUGAGAAA